GCAGUCAUCACUAGCCACCGGUGGGUCCAGCUACAGAUGUGGCCAUACUUGACAGCACGGGUGCUAUCAUUGAACAACUCAGUGGCUGAAUUGAAGAGAGGUUAGUCAUUGAAGUGACAUGAACUGGUGACUAGAAAACACAUGGAAAAAACUUGCACUGCACAGAGCAAGCAAAGAGGAACAGACAGAAAAUAGAAAUCAAUGUAGAGUCUGAUGGGUCAUAAGGAUCAAGACGGAAGAAGC